ACUCUGACUGCCCAGGGCCAUCCCCUUUUAGCCCAUGUGCCCACUUGGCAUGUCCCCAGCCCCUUCCCCCUGCCUGUGUUUGUGUUACUACUGUCUACACAUAUACAGAUUGCAGCCCGAUCACCACGUUGGCACUUCAAAUGCUCAGCACCUGUUUUGAAGGUUAACAGAUAGUGACAAGUAUAAUCACAGCCUCUUCUAAGUUUUAGCCUGCCAGCCAGUCAAUUAUUUUAGUAUUUCUGGUAGCUUGUUUCUCCUCCCACACACAUACCCCACCACUCUGUAAGCCAGCUCUGCAGGCAGUUGCAACACACUCUACUUUGGGAAGAUGCCACCUUUUCUUUCUCCCCUUUCUGGCGGUUGACAGCUUUUGAUGCUGUCCUUCACCAUGCCAAAGCACUACACCAUGACACAGCUCCUAGGUUGAUGCUUCUAAGCUUUGUCCACCUGUUAUUGGAAGGUGCCACCUCAUGAGGAGAGGCUACCCCUGAGGCUCCAGCCUCACUUUCCACCUCCAUGGGCUCUGAGUUCCAUGGCCAAAAGGAUUAAUGAGCCACACAACUCAUGGUUGCACGCUGUAGGCUUGGAGAUUUGAGCUGAGGACACUGAGGGCAGGAAAUGGAGGGAUGAGCCAUGAUGCUAGCUCACAUAUCCUCAUCUAAACGUACCUGUGACCAGAAAAUUCCUCCUAAGCCCAGUGUGUAGGGCUUUCAAUUGUAAGAGAGAGUACUUUGACAGAGGUCUUCACCCCAGGCAACCUAGGCGAAAGUAUUGUGCAGGGAGGAAAACAGGGAAAAGGGCACUAUUUUCUUUCAUUUUAGACCAGAAAGGAGAAACAAGGCCCUCUCCCUUCCCUCCAAAGAUGUCAGCAGGACUAUGGUUGUUCAAAGUCUAUCUCUAUUAGCAAACCUGAUGACCCAAGCUAAGCAGCAUUGAUGCCAAACGACAGUCCUCUCUUCAGGGUGCAAUGCACUGCAAUUGAUUACUGAGGAUAGAAAGGAAAUGUCAAACCUGGUGGACAAAACCUGGAUGGGAAGAGGCAAAAAAUGCCAGGUUGCUGCUUCAAGAAACAGACAGUCAACUUUUUAAAAGAUACAUUAUUUUUUCCCCACAUAAACUGAAAAAAAAGGAAAGAAAAAAAAGCAGCUGGAAAUGCCAAAUUAAAUGGUCAUCAAAUCUGCUGACCAAAAUAAAGCAAACAUAGCAGCACUGGAAAGAGCUGUUAGGAGAUGACAGCCUUCAGCUCUUCUUGACAGUGACAUCCAUUGCUCACUUCCCAUGCAGCAGGUAUGCGUCCUAAGGUUGCAUUAGAGCCAAUUGAAGGCAGCACAUCUCUGCAGAUGAGUGGUAGGAUUUGAUGUGAGAGGGACAAGCCUGGAAGUGAUGCCAAGAUGAGAACAGACAGAAAGAACAAGCCCAGAUCCCACCUGCCCUGUCCACAGAGAGUGCUGGCAGAGGCCAAGGAGAAGGCAAAUGUGGGACUGACUCCUGUGCAUCACAGAGUGCCUUUGUAGCACCUGAAGGUACUGGUUUAGCAGAUCAACCCAACUGGUUUCAUUUGUUACCUGGACCAUGGAGCGUAAAGACACAAAUGCAGGUGAUAACAGCUCAGCCAGGGCAGCUCACACAGGUUCAUCAUCCACUUAGUAGGACAGAAUCUCCUCCAUUGCUCUAGAGCACUGGUACAUAAAGGCUGCCCUGGAUGCUAAGAAAUGACUUACCAAAACAGUUUACAGAAGCAAAAAGUGUGAUUUGAAGGCUGCUUGCUCAGGCUACACACCAGCAGUGCUCUGUUUGGAGGCCGACAACCCUUCUGUGGGAGGAGACAGUGUGAGGUGAGGAGGUGGGUGCCAAGUUCUCUUCAUCCCUUUCCAGCCACAACACUGCUACUAAAUUUAGAUGAAAUCAUUUUGCACACCGUGCUCUUCCCAGUCACACCAGGCAACCUGAACUCGAUCCACAGCCCAGACUUAUUUCUGUUCACCUGGUGACCACACAUACCUCCAGAACAUCCCAUGACUUCAAGGUCUGCCGGGGUACCCAGCCAUCACUGCAUAGGAAAAGCCAGAAAAAUGCAUGGAAGUUGAUAAUGUGGUGAAUCCAACAUUCCCAGGAAGAGCUGGGAUCUGCGUGUUGUCUAAUUAUUGCAUAACGCAAGUCAAUGUAACUCCUCCAGUACAAAUAAGGGCCGUGUUAAAAACAAAGCUGUUCCCAAAGAGACCUAACUUCACAAACACUUUCUUUUUAUUUUCCUGAGAGAAAGCAAAUGCUUUUUCCUUGAGACAGGAGAGGAGGAAAUAGCUGCUCAGAGCUCCCAUGUCCUCAACUACAUGACAGGUUGGUAAAGAGCAAUGAAACAGCACAUUGACUAAGCUUGUACUAUUAAAUUCAAACUAGCAAUGCCACAAGAGUUUUCCCAGUAUCAUAUAAUCAAAUGAAACCAAAAUUUCCAUUCCAACUGCACUAAUGCCAUUGGAAUGAUGAGUCGGGAAGCACCAGGAAAGGUCAUGCUGUAAAAUAAGCACUUGGUGCUUAGUUUGCAGACGAGCUUGGGUUUCUACAUGGCAUGGAUUGGGGGUUAUUAUCCGUUUUUAUAUACUUCUUUUUGUCAUAUUUUAGAAGCAGAGCUUUUAGAAGCCUGAGAAACAGUAUGUUUACAUAGUGCCUGUAAAAAAACCAAUAAUUAAAAUACUCUGCAGUAUAUUGUUAAUCUGAUAUCAAAAAUAUCUGAAAAAAACAACGCCAUUAGCAAAAAAUCAUAGGAUCUGUCCUCAGAAAAAGGAAGCGACACAACACACCUAUAUUCCACAAUGACAUCCAAAAGUUUCCCAUUUGUCAAAGCCAAAAUAUUGUCAUGAGCACAGCAUGUCUGAAUGAAAUCCAAGAUGGGUGGGUGAGUGGGAAAAUGCCAGAUCCUUUUAUUUUUUUCCUCAAAAAUUUAUGAAAGGAAAUAGUAAUUUCAUUUACAAAGGACUUCUCUUUGGAAACAUCUAUUUAAAAAAGGGAAAAGGAGAAAACACCAACAGCCAAUUCUAGCUACAUACAAUCUUGCCAAAGCAGUCUUUGUAAUUAUAUUACUCAAGAGAGAUCUGGGCUGAGACUUGAGUUCCCCAGUGUUUAUGUAAUUAAAUACAUAACAACAUGAAAGAAUUUGUUGUUUUUGCCACGGUCAGCUGUGGCCUGGGCUGGAAGCUGUGGCCAAACUACCAGCAUCAGGCCCUGUGAGUUUGUUUUUCCCUAAGUAAUUCUGUAUAGACUGCAUGUGAUCUCCAAACAAAGACAUGGCUGAUAGCACCCAGCGUCAGUGAUCACAACCCACCCCAAAAGCUCCCAGACAUGCAUCUUGUACAGUUCAUUCCCUUUUGUCAUUUGCUGCACUGUCAUUUGCUGAGCUGCUCUCCAUCAUAUUUGAAAAUCAUGGCUGUCUGGUGAAGUCCCCAGUGACUGGAAAAAGGGAAACAUUACUCCCAUUUUUAGGAAAGGGAGAAAGGAUGACCCAGGGAACUACAGGCCGGUGAGCCUCAGCUCUGUGUGUGAGAAGAUCAUGGAGCAGAUCCUCCUAGAAGCCAUGUUAAGGCACAUAUGAGAUAAAGAGUUGAUUCAAGACAGCCAUCAUGGCUUCACCAAGGGCAGAUCGUGCCUGACCAAUCUGGUGGCCUUCUAUGAUGGAGUGACAGCUUCGGUGGACAGGGGACGGCCAGCAGGGAGCGGGAGGUGAUUGUGCCCCUCUACUCGGCUCUUGUGAGGCCCCAUCUGCACUACUGCAUCCAGGCCUGGGGCCCCCAGUACAGGAAGGACGUGGAGCUCUUGGAGUGGGUCCAGAGGAGGCCACUAAGAUGAGGUGCUGGAGCACCUCUCCUAUGAGGAAAGGUUGAGGGAACUGGGCUUGUUUAGCUUGGAAAAGAGAAGGCUCCAGGGAGACCUCAUUGUGGCCUGCCAGUACUGGAAGGGAGCAUAUAAACAGGAAGGGGAACGGCUGUUUACAAGGGUGGACAGUGAUAGGACAAGGGGGAAUGGUCUUGAACUGAGACAGGGGAGGUUUAGGUUGGAUAUUAGGAGGAAGUUUUUCACACAGAGGGUGGUGACGCACUGGAACAGGUUGCCCAAGGAUGUUGUGGAUGCCCCAUCCCUGCAGGCAUUCAAGGCCAGGCUGGAUGUGGCUCUGGGCAGCCUGGUCUGGUGGUUGGUGACCCUGCACAUAGCAGGGGGGUUGAAACUCAAUGAUCAUUGUGUUCCUUUUCAACCCAGGCCAUUCUAUGAUUCUAUGAUAUAAUUCUAUAAUUCCAUCACAGGAUUCAUCAGUUUCAGCUGCUAUGUAAAAACAGAUACAGAAGAGAGGAAAAUUAUUGACUUAACAUGUUAAUGCUGAAUUACUCUUUAUGAACCAGCAAAUAAUAUAAAGCAACUAUAUAAGUUGACCAAACUUAUAUAGUUUGACUAUAUAGUUUGACCAAAGCCUUUAACCCAGAGUAAUCUGGAAGAAGUCUCAGAUUUCUGUUUCAAUAUCUGUUUUUACCAUAGAGGAUAAACAAUUUUUGUGAUACAGACUUGGACACAUCUCUGUUUAUGAUAACUUGUCAACGGGAAAGAAGAGAGCCAAAUGAAUUAGUCUUUCACUCCCUGUGUAUGAAAAUGGGGAUGGACAUCUGGGCUGUUGAUUUUUAGCCUAAAUAUCAGCUCAGCAUCACAUGCAUUUGGGACUCUAGAAAAUAAAGCCAUCUAUAUCACUUAUGCAUAACAGAAAACAGUGGACAACAGGAAAAACCUCCUUUGAAUUUCAGUUGAAGGUCUUAUUUGAUCUACAAAGACCUACUCCCUGACACAUGGCUGAGGGGAGUCUCAUGCCACUGAGUCAUUCCCCAUCAUCAGCAAAGCUCCAUCCAGACUUGGUCACCAGGGCUGAAAAAAAGCUGACCCUAGCAUGGGAGGCAAAACAGGGAGAUCAUCUUCUAUCUCAACUCAUCCCAACAUAGUACUUCACAUCUUGAGCACCACAGAGCAACAGUAUAGGAGACACCAGCCUUGUGCUGAGUGGUUCAUCUUCCUUGGUUUUCAGCCAUGACUCAGCAGUUGGCAGCACGAGACACCCCUGCUCUCCCACCCCAAGGACAUCAUAUAUAUGUUCAUUUUAAAUAUAGGGAGGUGAUCCACUCCUCUAGCACAAAUGCUUAGCCAAUUAGAUUGGUCUGAGUGUCCUCAGCAUUUAAGCAGAUCACUGACAAAAAUAGAAAAUCAGAAGGACUUGGAAGCUAUUUUGGUCUAGGCUUUGACUGUAAAAGGUAUGGCUGAUAACUGAGACCACUGGCUCCAUUACAAAUAAACGCUCCAUUUAGAGUAGACAGAUGAACUGAAUCAAAUAGAUGAGCUUCUGUUUUUACAUCUUGGUAAGUGUUUUGCUAUGAGAAAUAGUCUUCACUUGAUCUACAUUGCCUUAUCUCAAUGUCCCCUACAAAGAAAGCAAUUAUCCCCUACUGUCCCCAAAUAUCUUCUCUCUUUCACAGAUAUUCAACUACCACUCUAUACAAAUGUUUUCAGAUAUUGUCUUUUGAUUCAGAGCACCACUAUCCAUACAUGAAAAUGCAGCUCAUAUCUUGCAGCAAUAUGAGAGGACUUCAGUUUCCAGUAGAUAAGAUUGCUGCACUAAACCACAUCUUGGAAUGUAAUAUCCAGCCUCUGAUCUCCGUGUGACCCACUAUUUUCCUCCCACUGUAGCAUGUGAGAAAUUUUAAUGGUCUUUUUUUCUCAGUCAACACCUGUGAGAGGGAGGGAAGUAUCAUUAUCUCAGUUCUACAGAGGAUCACCAUUAGCAGAAACAAGCUAAGGUCAAGGUUAUCUGAAACGUCUACAACCCAGCCAGAAAUAGUUCUUCUGGGUCCUUCUGAGGCUUUGACCACACACUGAAAAAAGUCAGCAUUUCAUUCGAACAAACACUGAAUCAAAAAAUGGACGAACAACUCAAAAUGAGACAGUGGCAGAAUAUCAGUUUGCAACCUCUUUCCUAAUACAGGCAUCUCAACUGAACGCAUGGAGGAAAUGUGUGAAAAGCACUUCCUGUGCUGUUUUGCUCACUUUGCUCCGGUAUGCCAAGGAUACUCAACAAUACGUGUCUUGGAAAUUUUCAAACUGUUUCUGGAGUGCCAAGAUAUAGUAGAUGAUACCUCCUAACAAAUCACCUUGGACUUCCCUUGAGGAGAAACUCACUACUGGAGUCCAGCCUGACUGUAGAAUUAUGGAAUAAUUCAUGUUGGAAGGGGCUUCUGGACACCCCUACUCUAACCUCUGCUCAGAGCAGAGGACUCAACUUCUGAGCAGUCUGCUCCAGCUGUCAAUAUUGUCAAGGAUGGAGAGUCUCCAAAAAUCAAACUACUUGAAGAAGAGCAAUAAAUAAUGGAAUCAAAUUCUUCUUGGCAGUGGUGAAAAGUCAAGUGAGGAACAGUAAUAAAGGGUAGAAGAAGAGGUUGCUAGACUGCACUUAGGAAGCUCAGAUUGGCCACUAGGACACUUGUUUUUUUUUUUCCUGGAGAUGGAUGGUGCAGCUCUGAGACCUACAUCUGGAGAGGAGGAACACGUCUUGUUUAGUGAAUGGGAAGAACCACUGGGAGGAUGAAGCAAGGUCAUGCAGCAGAAUGGGG
ensembl:lncRNA